rnacentral:rRNA from 1 species
UACGGUGCUGAAGCAACAAAUGCCCUGCUUCCAGGAAAAGCCUCUAAGCAUCAGGUAACAUCAAAUCGUACCCCAAACCGACACAGGUGGUCAGGUAGAGAAUACCAAGGCGCUUGAGAGAACUCGGGUGAAGGAACUAGGCAAAAUGGUGCCGUAACUUCGGGAGAAGGCACGCUGACACGUAGGUGAAGUGAUUUACUCACGGAGCUGAAGUCAGUCGAAGAUACCAGCUGGCUGCAACUGUUUAUUAAAAACACAGCACUGUGCAAACACGAAAGUGGACGUAUACGGUGUGACGCCUGCCCGGUGCCGGAAGGUUAAUUGAUGGGGUCAGCGCAAGCGAAGCUCCUGAUCGAAGCCCCGGUAAACGGCGGCCGUAACUAUAACGGUCCUAAGGUAGCGAAAUUCCUUGUCGGGUAAGUUCCGACCUGCACGAAUGGCGUAAUGAUGGCCAGGCUGUCUCCACCCGAGACUCAGUGAAAUUGAACUCGCUGUGAAGAUGCAGUGUACCCGCGGCAAGACGGAAAGACCCCGUGAACCUUUACUAUAGCUUGACACUGAACAUUGAGCCUUGAUGUGUAGGAUAGGUGGGAGGCUUUGAAGUGUGGACGCCAGUCUGCAUGGAGCCGACCUUGAAAUACCACCCUUUAAUGUUUGAUGUUCUAACGUGGACCCGUAAUCCGGGUUGCGGACAGUGUCUGGUGGGUAGUUUGACUGGGGCGGUCUCCUCCUAAAGAGUAACGGAGGAGCACGAAGGUUGGCUAAUCCUGGUCGGACAUCAGGAGGUUAGUGCAAUGGCAUAAGCCAGCUUGACUGCGAGCGUGACGGCGCGAGCAGGUGCGAAAGCAGGUCAUAGUGAUCCGGUGGUUCUGAAUGGAAGGGCCAUCGCUCAACGGAUAAAAGGUACUCCGGGGAUAACAGGCUGAUACCGCCCAAGAGUUCAUAUCGACGGCGGUGUUUGGCACCUCGAUGUCGGCUCAUCACAUCCUGGGGCUGAAGUAGGUCCCAAGGGUAUGGCUGUUCGCCAUUUAAAGUGGUACGCGAGCUGGGUUUAGAACGUCGUGAGACAGUUCGGUCCCUAUCUGCCGUGGGCGCUGGAGAACUGAGGGGGGCUGCUCCUAGUACGAGAGGACCGGAGUGGACGCAUCACUGGUGUUCGGGUUGUCAUGCCAAUGGCACUGCCCGGUAGCUAAAUGCGGAAGAGAUAAGUGCUGAAAGCAUCUAAGCACGAAACUUGCCCCGAGAUGAGUUCUCCCUGAGACUUUAGGUCUCCUGAAGGAACGUUGAAGACGACGACGUUGAUAGGCCGGGUGUGUAAGCGCAGCGAUGCGUUGAGCUAACCG